CUCAUCGCUGCACACGGGCCUCCAUGAACACGCGUCAGAAUCAGGCAGCCUCCGGCCUGCUGCGCACGUCGUUCCUGCACACCGAGGCUGCUGUGGGUCCAGCUUCCCCAGAGACCCCAGCCCUGGGCUCCGCCAGCACCACCCACCCCGCUCCAGCCCAGGGAUGGAGCCGCCGCCUUCUCUCCUGGCCUCUGAGUUGCCUCCCAGCCCCCAUCUGACUUCUCAGCUCUCCCGUCCCCUCCGUAACCCACUCCCUGCCUCAGUCUCCUGUGUGGUAAAUACACGAGUUCUCCAGUGAGGCCCCAACUGCUGCAUCCUUGGAUUAAUUUAAGGAUCCAAGGACAGAGGCCAGAGAAGCCUGCAUGGACCUGGGUAUCAGACGCAGAAGUAAUGGAGCAUUAGUCACCUUAGUCACCACGUUCUCAGUCAGCGAGGUCAGGUGCACGUCCAGACCUGAUGGACGCUCCUUCACAGGGACCUCCGGUGCGCAAACAGGACUCCAUGGAGAGCAGCUCGGGGGCAAGGACAGGCUUCUCUAAAGCAUGGUGAGGCACCACUGUCACUGAGGAUGCACGGUCCUCUCCUUGCCCUGGAAGCAGAGAACGGGAAUGUGCAGCCACAGCUCCUCCUUUCUCCAGACGCCCCUCAGCAAGGAAGAGCGGACCCAGACCGGUGGGUGCUAUUUGCUCCAGACUCCCCAGCGCCUAUGCGGCUGAACCCUAAGGAUUCCCACGCGGCUCCAGAGGGACGUUUCCAAACACACGCCCAAGUCCUCCAGAAGGUGACUUGAAGAUAAAAGUCCUAAAUGAAUGCAGAGCAGUUUCAACACAUGAGUUCACAUACAUGCUCCCAACUGUUUCUAAAUGUUAGGGGAAAUCCCAACCUUUGUCUUUGAAAAACACCAGAGUGUCUUGUUUGUGAUUUUAAAACACUCAAAGACAAAUUGCCAGUUUGCCGUGUGUAUUUCAAAUCUACUUUCCGUUUAUUUAAUUUCUUGGCUUCUUUAACUUGAAGCUUCCCACCAGGGCUCCAAACCUCUUUCUUACUAUCGAACAGUGUGACUACCCAGGCUGCUGAAGGCACCGCUUGUCAUCUAUCUAGAAAUUACCUUCUCUGCAUGUUGCCUGGAACUGUGGAGGGUUCACCAUUAUAAAUUAUAGUUCAAAUUACAAAACAGGGCCCCUAUUGAUGAUUUCAGGUUCUAAGUGUGUAAUUAUGGUGCUUUUGCUAAUGACAUAAUGAAGAGAGGUGAUUAUGUCAUUAAAAUGUGAUGUUUUUUAUAUCCCGAAGAAGCUGCCUAUGUGUCGUAAUGAACGUCCUGGGUAUGGGGUCAGAGUGGGCUCUCCCUCGAGGACCCUGAGGCCGUCCUACAGGGAAGAGUGGGGUUUUGUCCAGUGAAGUAUUUGCUAGUCACAGGCUGCGCUGCUUAGUCCUGAGAACGAGACACUUUCAGAGUUAAUGCCACAAAUAUUGUUCUUCGGCUCAGUAAUGUUAGGACGAAACAAAC
rnacentral:lncRNA from 1 species